UACAGAGGGUGCGAGCGUUAAUCGGAAUUACUGGGCGUAAAGCGCACGUAGGCGGCUUGGUAUGUCGGGUGUGAAAUCCCCGGGCUUAACCUGGGAAUGGCAUUUGGGACUGCAAGGCUCGAGUGCGGCAGAGGAGACUGGAAUUCCUGGUGUAGCAGUGAAAUGCGUAGAUAUCAGGAGGAACACCGAUGGCGAAGGCAGGUCUCUGGGCUGACACUGACGCUCAUGCACGAAAGCGUGGGGAGCAAACAGG
rnacentral:rRNA from 1 species